rnacentral:tRNA from 1 species
GGUCUCAUGGUGUAAUGGUUAGCACUCUGGACUCUGAAUCCAGGGAACCGAGUUCAAAUCUCGGUGAGACCU